rnacentral:rRNA from 1 species
GGAGGAAAGCAGGGGAUCGUAAGACCUUGCGUUAAUGGAGUGGCCGAUAUCUGAUUAGCUAGUUGGUGAGGUAAAGGCUCACCAAGGCGACGAUCAGUAGCUGGUUUGAGAGAACGACCAGCCACACUGGAACUGAGACACGGUCCAGACUCCUACGGGAGGCAGCAGUGGGGAAUUUUGGACAAUGGGGGCAACCCUGAUCCAGCCAUUCCGCGUGAGUGAAGAAGGCCUUCGGGUUGUAAAGCUCUUUCGCAAGGGAAGAAAACUUAUGAUCGAAUAAAUCAUGAGGUUGACGGUACCUUGAUAAGAAGCACCGGCUAACUACGUGCCAGCAGCCGCGGUAAUACGUAGGGUGCGAGCGUUAAUCGGAAUUACUGGGCGUAAAGCGUGCGCAGGCGGUUUUGUAAGUCGGAUGUGAAAUCCCCGGGCUCAACCUGGGAACUGCGUUUGAAACUACAAGGCUAG